AUGUCCACAUUUCCAUUGCUCCAAAAAAACGCUCUAUCCGUUCAAUUCUACCUUAAUGUGGGGACAAUUGAGUCCUGCUGUGGGAAUCCGAGUGAGGUAACUGUCACACGCGACACGUUUGCUUCCACCAACCUAACAAUCUCUACACAUCGGCACUUUUCGUCACCCUCUUCCUUCCUUUCGUCGCCGGCGACGGCAUGGUUUCAAUCAUCAAAUAGGAAAGUCCAGUUAUCGGCCCAAGCCCAAACCCGGCCUGUCCUUGACAAAGACGAACGGAUCGCUAAGGACGAUGCAGAUGCUGAAAGUUUGAAGCGGGCGCCCACUGAUAGCAAUGUCACGGAAGAUCAAAAUCGAGAUCCUUUCAUGGGAGUAAAGGUACGGAGAAAAGCUUCGUUUUAUAGAAAUUACAUCGGCGAUUACCUUGACGUGCCUUCUCGACCCUAUCUCAUGAAGAUUCUAGAAAAACAAGGUGACAAGAAAGUCCUCUUUGCAGACAAAGUUUUGAAGUUCACAAGUACAGGGAAGAUGAAGAGGCGCAUUCUUCUUGUAACUGAUUUUGCCGUUUACAUUGUGGAUCCAGACAUUGAUGCACUUAAAAGGCGGAUUUCCCUGGCAGCUGUUGAAAAGCUCUGUUUGAGUGAACUAAGUGAUAAUUUCUUAGCAAUUAUUAUACCAACUGAAUAUGAUCUACUGAUAGCCAGUACUCGGAAGACAGAAAUUGUAUCUGUCUUAGUAGAUGCUACCAGGUGUCAAUCCAACUACGAACUUGAGGUGCUACUCUCUAAUAGAUUUGAGUACAAUGCAACUUCCGAACUAGUAAAAGAAAUUGACUUUAAGGAAACUGAAGUUGUGAGAUAUCUUUUAAUCCCAGAGGGUGCGAGAACAAGAAUUGUGCGGAAGUGAGUUGCACCUUUAGUGUAG